rnacentral:rRNA from 1 species
GACGAACGCUGGCGGCGUGCUUAACACAUGCAAGUCGAACGAUGAAGCCGGAGCUUGCUCUGGUGAAUUAGUGGCGAACGGGUGAGUAACACGUGAGUAACCUGCCCUUGACUCUGGGAUAACUGCUAGAAAUGGUAGCUAAUACCGGAUACGACCCUCGGAGGCAUCUCCAGGGGGUGGAAAGAAUUUCGGUCAAGGAUGGACUCGCGGCCUAUCAGCUAGUUGGUGAGGUAACGGCUCACCAAGGCGACGACGGGUAGCCGGCCUGAGAGGGUGAACGGCAACACUGGGACUGAGACACGGCCCAGACUCCAACGGGAGACAGCCGUGGGGAAUAUUGCACAAUGGGGGAAAGCCUGAUGCAGCAGCGCCGCGUGAGGGAUGACGGCCUUCGAGUUGUAAGCCUCUUUUAGUAGGGAAGAAGCGAAAGUGACGGUACCUGCAGAAAAAGCACCGGCUAACUACGUGCCAGCAGCCGCAGUAA